AUUGAACGCUGGCGGCAUGCUUUACACAUGCAAGUCGAACGGUAACAGGCCGCAAGGUGCUGACGAGUGGCGAACGGGUGAGUAAUGCAUCGGAACGUGCCCAGUCGUGGGGGAUAACGCAGCGAAAGCUGCGCUAAUACCGCAUACGAUCUAUGGAUGAAAGCGGGGGACCGUAAGGCCUCGCGCGAUUGGAGCGGCCGAUGGCAGAUUAGGUAGUUGGUGGGGUAAAGGCUCACCAAGCCAACGAUCUGUAGCUGGUCUGAGAGGACGACCAGCCACACUGGGACUGAGACACGGGCCAGACUCCUACGGGAGGCAGCAGUGGGGAAUUUUGGACAAUGGGCGCAAGCCUGAUCCAGCAAUGCCGCGUGCAGGAAGAAGGCCUUCGGGUUGUAAACUGCUUUUGUACGGAACGAAACGGUCUGGGUUAAUACCCUGGGCUAAUGACGGUACCGUAAGAAUAAGCACCGGCUAACUACGUGCCAGCAGCCGCGGUAAUAC
rnacentral:rRNA from 1 species